rfam:Lepisosteus oculatus unplaced genomic scaffold TNK497, whole genome shotgun sequence.
GGCCGGUUAGCUCAGUUGGUUAGAGCGUGGUGCUAAUAACGCCAAGAUCGUGGGUUCGAUCCCCGUACGGGCCA